rnacentral:rRNA from 1 species
AGUGGCGGACGGGUGAGGAAUACAUCGGAAUCUACUUUUUCGUGGGGGAUAACGUAGGGAAACUUACGCUAAUACCGCAUACGACCUACGGGUGAAAGCAGGGGAUCUUCGGACCUUGCGCGAUUGAAUGAGCCGAUGUCGGAUUAGCUAGUUGGCGGGGUAAAGGCCCACCAAGGCGACAAUCCGUAGCUGGUCUGAGAGGAUGAUCAGCCACACUGGAACUGAGACACGGUCCAGACUCCUACGGGAGGCAGCAGUGGGGAAUAUUGGACAAUGGGCGCAAGCCUGAUCCAGCCAUACCGCGUGGGUGAAGAAGGCCUUCGGGUUGUAAAGCCCUUUUGUUGGGAAAGAAAUCCAGCUGGCUAAUACCCGGUUGGGAUGACGGUACCCAAAGAAUAAGCACCGGCUAACUUCAUGCCAGCAGCCGCGGUAAUACGAAGGGUGCAAGCGUUACUCGGAAUUACUGGGCGUAAAGCGUGCGUAGGUGGUCGUUUAAGUCCGUUGUGAAAGCCCUGGGCUCAACCUGGGAACUGCAGUGGAUACUGGACGACUAGAGUGUGGUAGAGGGUAGCGGAAUUCCUGGUGUAGCAGUGAAAUGCGUAGAGAUCAGGAGGAACAUCCAUGGCGAAGGCAGCUACCUGGACCAACACUGACACUGAGGCACGAAAGCGUGGGGAGCAAACAAGAUUAGAUACCCUGGUAGUCCACGCCCUAAA